AUCGCUUCUCGGCCUUUUGGCUAAGAUCAAGUGUAGCAUCUGUUCUUAUCAGUUUAAUGUUAUUGUUUGUUGUCAUUUUAACUUAUUGAGAUAAAUAAAGUAGCUAAAACGGACUGAAGUGGAACUAUA
rnacentral:snRNA from 1 species